CCUACGGGGCGCAGCAGUGGGGGAUAUUGGACAAUGGGGGGAACCCUGAUCCAGCGACGCCGCGUGAGUGAAGAAGUAUUUCGGUAUGUAAAGCUCUGUCAGCAGGGAAGAAAGAAAUGACGGUACCUGACCAAGAAGCCCCGGCUAACUACGUGCCAGCAGCCGCGGUAAUACGUAGGGGGCAAGCGUUAUCCGGAUUUACUGGGUGUAAAGGGAGCGUAGACGGCUGUGCAAGUCUGAAGUGAAAGCCCAGGGCUCAACCCUGGGACUGCUUUGGAAACUGUGGAGCUAGAGUGCUGGGGAGG
rnacentral:rRNA from 1 species